AGAAAGCUGGAGGGCAGGGAAAUGGGCCGAGUCCUGCAUCAUCCACCGAGUGGGGGCUGUGGAUAGGUGCGGCGCUGCUUCCCUGGAGGGAAACGCUCCAUCUUGCGGGCCGAAGCGCGAGUGCUGCUCUGUGACAGCCUCCGGCCGCGGCCUUCCCAGCUGCUACCGCCGCUUUUCGGAUGGGCUGUGAUAGAUGGAGUAGCAGCGAAGACUGCUAGAAGAGCGUUUUCAGUCGGCCUUUAGUGAUUCGUAAAACCAAAUUAGCUGGUUUCUACUUGGAAGGGGUACAGAAGAUCAAACUCUCCCAAAAAGUAGAGAUUAAACAACAACUAAAGAUGGCGAAUCAUAGAAGAGAACAAUAGAGUGAAGAAAAAGGAUGUUUAAGCCUAAAUCCAAGACUGAGGUACAAGACCAAGAAAAGUGGGGCAGAA